rnacentral:rRNA from 1 species
AUGGCAAAUGUAGUUUAUGGAACAUGGCAAUUUUAUUAUAUGAACCAUGGCAAAUGGCUUCUCUUUUUUUUUGCAACAUGGCAUUUUUCUUUCGAACGGGACCAAGGAAAAUUUAGUGCAUGCAUCAUGGGAAUUAUAGUUUAUGGAUCAUGGCAUUUUUUAUUCUAUGCAUCAUACAAAUUUUCUGUUUUUGAACGGGACCAUGGCAAAUUUUCUUUCAUGGCAAUGGUAGUUCAUGGAGCAUGGCAAAUUUUUGUCCUUUGUAACAUGGCAAUUUUUUUUGAAUGGGACCAUGGCAAACUUAGUGUAUGUAUCAUGGCAAAUGUAGUUAAUGGGGCAUGGAAAUUUUAUUAUUAUAUAGAUCAUGGAAAAUUUUCUUUCUUUUUGCAACAUGGCAAAUUUUAUUUUUUUCAACGGGACCAUGGCAAUCUCAGUGCACCUUUCAUGGCAACGGUAGUUUAUGGAGCAUGGUAA